CCCUGACAGUCGCAAUGGGCGACUGACACUAGCCCCGACAGGAGACACUCAUG
rnacentral:ncRNA from 1 species